UAAGGAAUAUUGGUCAAUGGACGCAAGUCUGAACCAGCCAUGCCGCGUGAAGGAUGAAGGUCCUCUGGAUUGUAAACUUCUUUUAUCUGGGACGAAAACGGGAUUUUUAUCUCAAUUGACGGUACCAGAGGAAUAAGCACCGGCUAACUCCGUGCCAGCAGCCGCGGUAAUACGGAGGGUGCGAGCGUUAUCCGGAUUUACUGGGCUUAAAGGGUGCGUAGGUGGGCUUAUAAGUCAGUGGUGAAAUCUCCGAGCUUAACUUGGAAACUGCCGUUGAUACUAUAGGUCUUGAAUUAUCUGGAGGUAAGCGGAAUAUGUCAUGUAGCGGUGGAAUGCUUAGAUAUGACAUAGAACACCAAUUGCGAAGGCAGCUUACUACAUAUAAAUUGACGCUGAGGCACGAAAGCGUGGGGAUCAAAC
rnacentral:rRNA from 1 species